CGCGGAGGUGGUGGCUGCUGCGGCACGCGGCUGCGAAAGGGCUGCCCCGCGCCGUCACGUGAGCCCCGCGAGCCGGAACCGGGGCGUUUGUCCCAGGGGGAUGGGGUUACAAAAGCCGUGGGAUCUCUUCAUCUGCCUCUCCUGAGGCUGGUGAAGGAGAAACAGCAGUCUGAGGUGAGACAGUGUUCGACAGAACCUCACCGAAUGUUUUGAGACAUCUUUGCGAAGAUCUGCUGUUGUGCUUGAAAAUUGAAUAUAAGCUGCUGCACAGUGUUACUGUUGUUCAAAACUUGACUUUCCUAUUCUCCCCAUCCUCAUUUAAUAAUGAAAAUGAGAUGUUACAUUUAAAGAUAGCGCUAUCUUUGACUGUAGGUAGUUCCUCUAAAAACACAACAGUUCUUAAAUGCAGGUUUUCAUGAUAGCAGUACUUGACUGAGGAUGAAGACAAUCAUCUAAUUCCUUGCAUAUUUUCAGUGAUACGCAAAAAUCUGAUGGAUUAGAGGAUUUGUGAGGCCAAAACUAAUAUCCAUAUUUACUCAUUCUUUGUUUUUAAAUUAAGUUUUUUUUUAGCAUCUUAGCAGUGGAGUUUUCAAUGGCUCUAGGAGGAUUUUCCUCUAAAGAUGUUGAAUGUAAACCAUUUAUUUGUCAACAGGUCUCAAAUAGAUUUUUGUUGCUGAAAAAUAUGUCAUAACAGCACACAUCAAAGUUUUUAAAGGACUUAAGUAUGCUUGUUUUAGGCAAAUUUUUACUGUGAGAAGAAAAAAAAGGCAAAAAGAAGGACAUUUGAGUUGAAAUAUGCCAGGUGGAUGAGGAACAGGUCUCUGCGGGUUUUCUGCUAGAAUGUUUGCUCUGGUUUUUAUCUUGUCACUGUUAAAAAAAUAUAUUGUUUCAGUUACUGUGUAUAUCCUUAAGUAUUCUUUUCCUUUGGUGCAUGCAAAACAGGAAAAAAAAUAUAUAUUUUCCAGCUCCUGUGUAAUAUUACCUAGUCAACAAAGGAAAUGUAUCAUGUGAAUGUAUAAACUGAAUCUUCCUCAGUAUAUCUAAAGGUCGAACAAAUUAGCUAGAUAAACUGAAUGUAGGUAUUAAUUUAUCUUGAUUGUUCACUUUGGGUGAAUUCACUUCAGCAACCUAAGGACAAACCUUUUGUCAUAUUCCUAAUUCAGCAUGGCCUAACCAUGACCAAAAGGUGAGGAGCAGCUCACACCUUCUCUUGCCAAGCUCCUUCAGAAUGUGUUGCAUGAGCUUCCUACUGAAGGUCAUGCUCUGCAAAGAACUGCCUGUCAGAGCUUAAAGUCAAACCAAUAUUGACAAAUGUAUCAGUAUUUGUUUGUCUUCAUUUUUCAUAUUUCAGUAGUUCAGUUUUCACUGAAAAUUCUUUGAGAUCUUCAGCACAUUCAAGAUUAGAAUCAGUAAUUUAGUCUUACAAUAAGGAGUAAUUAAGGCCUCUCAUAGAUACCAGAAGGUGAUCAAGGAAAGCCCUUUUCUUCCUUUGUAAGUCUUGUGUAGUGCUAGCAGGAUUAAAUGAAGCACAGCUCAUGGUUAGUGAAGUUUUUACUGUUAAGUUAAAAUAAAACUUACAUCUCUUAAAAAUGCCUUUCAUAUGUAAUUCCUGUCUAGACUUUGGCUAUUUUAGCACAGUCAUAUGCCAUAUUUAGCUCAGACAAAUGUUUUUAGAUUUUGUUAAUUUUAAACUAUUGUCAAGUAGGUAUGUGAAAGUGUCUUCUCUAGAUAUUGACAGUCUAAUUCAUGUAUCUGAUACUGGUUUUUUGAUGCGCAAUUUAGUAUGGUGAUUUGUAACAGUACAAGCUGGAGUGAUCAAUUAUAUUUCAGUAGGGUUUUGCAUUGCUUCCUACCUAAAAAACAACAACCAACACAAAAACAAACAAACAAAACAAACAAAAAACCAAACCAAACAAGAACAAACGAACACAACAGUAAGGACAGAUUAGAUGUGUGUCUUUCACCGUUUCCUGUAAAAUGUUAUAUGAACUCCUAAAAGUUUUAUUUUGAAUAAUAGCAAUUUCAGUAAGAAUUUUAGUAGAUGUAGAGGACAUAAAAGGAAUUUCUGAAAGUUCCUAUGAAUCUGACCCUGAUUUUCAACCAUUUGAAAGGUCCAAGUGACAUGACAUUUCUGUAAUACUUUUUCCUUUUUUGUUUUUUCCACGUGUACACGUCUGAAGAAAUCACAUUUUACUCCUUUAUUUUAGGUUUAAGUAGCAGUCACAAGAGAAUAGAUGCUAUUAAGUGUAACAAAGCAUGAAGAUGACAAGAUAAAUGAAGCAGAGGCUUUUCAGCUUGAUCACAUCCUGCAAUGCAUAAUGGUACAGAUUUUGUAUGCCAGACACAAAUGUCACCUUGGGAUUGAAAUCUUACUAGAUGAAUCUAUGUGAGCAAGUAUAACUACAAUAGCUUUAUUUUUUUUCUCCUAGAUACCUUCCUACUUAAAAUAUAGAAAGGAAAAUGAGUGCUCCUGAGCUAAGAGAUGAGUUAAUUGCCUGUGGGAUUUGUGAUGGAAAGUUCUCUCUAAAAUAAACACAGUAACACAAGUUGUUCUUUCCUUUCACAUGUUAGGAGGAAAGACUACUUUUAGUGACAGAAGACUAGACUAGACUGAUACCGUUCUCUUUUAGGACAUUAGUACUUGAUUAGUACAUAUGGCACCAUGUACUAGAGUUGUUCAUUGCAUCAUAGCAAAAUAUUUUUCUGUAGUUUUUUUAUUACAUGUCUUUAAAACCCUGUGCAGAAUGUUUGUUCCCAUGUUGUAUGUUAGUUCCAGCAACUCUGAUAUGAAUGAUAUGCUGGUGGGCUUUGGAAAUCCUGAAGAAUAAGAAUCUGUCAGGGAGCCUAGAUGGGACAUCAAUAAGAAAUUUACAAAUUAUUUAAUCACUAUUAAAAAUAAAAAGGAAAUUAUGACUAAGGUUUUCAACUGAUAAAUUGUAUCAGCUUCUAUUAACUUAGUUCUUCCACUUCAUUACAAAAAGACAUUAUUGAUCCAGAAUUUAUUAGCAGUGUUUCAUUAAAGCCAGUGGAGGGCAGACUUGAACCUCAAACUGUUUUUGCCACUUCAGUUGAACUUAAAAUACCAGAUAGUCCCUUGAGCUCAAAGCUGAUGACAAUCUCAUCACUUCUCUACUAUUCUAAUUACACUUGUGCUGGAUAAAAGCUUCUCUACAAUUGCUGUUUGACAAAAUGAGCAUUUUACUAUGUCGCAGUAAGAAUAGUGAAUGUUUAAAUAAACAUGCUAAUGUGAAAGUGGAUAAGUCAGUGUAUUAGCAACUGUGUGUUAUUCACAGGGGACAAUCCACACUGCUUAAUAAUUAACCAUGUAUGUCAUAAAAUGGUUUUUAAAAGCUAGUAAAUAUCAUUACCCCCACUUUACAGAGGAAGAAACUGAGGAGUAGAGUGGUAGCCUUGCAACUUAUCCAUCUAGGUGAUCUACAGAAGCAAGAACAAAAUUCAGAUUUCUGAGAUUUAGUCCAGUGCUCAAGCAUAUUGUUUGUACAAAUAAACCAUGACAUAUCUAAUUCUUGCAAACAUCAUGGAAAUGCUUGCUAGCAGCCCCAAUUGCUGGAGCUGAGGAGCUUACUCUAACAAAAUAGGCAGCUAAGCUGACAGGCAGGUUUUUGCUCUUCAGAAGAAUAUUCUCAAGAAGAUGAGUGACAAUGAGAUCAGAUGGCCAAAGAUCUGCAUUAAAAAUAGGGAUUUAUUAUUAAAAAAAGUACACUGUAUUUUUUAAUAUAUUUGUCAUUCUUUAAGUUAGGUUGUACUCUUUCCAAGGAACAAAAAGCCUUUCUAUCUAGAUCUGUAAAACCAUUCCAAUCUCAGUACUAGGAAAUGUAUGGUUAAAGAGUCAAUUUGCAUACAGGUAAAGCACUAAGAUACUAAUAGUCUGUUCCCCCAUUCCUUUCAUCUUUAAUUACAAAGGUUUCAAAUUAUGAGAUACAAUAGACCUCCUAUUAACUCACUGAGUCCACCCUAUUUACUGUACCCAUGGGUCAGUAACAUGCAUGGGAUUAGUGUGAUUCAUCAUUAAGUGCCCUCCUUCACUGACACUAAAUUGAAUAGCUAAACAUCAUCACUAAUUUUAUUUGACUAUAUCUAUUCCAUUUUAUUUAAAUGCUUAGGAGAUCAUUACCCAUUGUAACAGCUUUUUAAAUUACAAAAAUACACCACAUUUCUAAUCAAUAGAUAUCAGUGUAAGCUGUUUUUUCAGUUUCUAGAAAAGACUGGAUGUGGAGGGGUUUUGAUAGAUAAAGAUUUGUUGCUGAAUUAGUCAGGCUCAAAGGAAUCUCAAGGCCGCUUCGAGAAGCUGAGAACAGAAUCUGCUGUGAGAGAGAGGGGUGUUCCUCAAUCACCAGGGUCCUGGCGUGGCGUGAAUCAUAGGACGUAUCAUCAGUGAGACUCCAGCGGUUGGACAGCCCACGAUACUCAUUUAGCGAAUCCAUGCUUGGAGCGUGGACGCGUGGUUAGAGUAUAGCUGCAUAUAUAAGGAGGCUGGUUUCUGUAAUAAAUGGCUUUAGCAUGAUUCACAUUGAA